ensembl:lncRNA
GACUAGGUUAUAAUGUAUAAUAGUGGGUUGUUAGUGAUAUGUAGAUGUUAUAUUAUGUAAAGUAGACUAGGUUAUAAUGUAUAAUAGUGGGUUGUUAGUGAUAUGUAGAUGUUAUAUUAUGUAAAGUAGACUAGGUUAUAAUGUAUAAUAGUGGGUUGUUAGUGAUGUGUAGAUGUUAUAUUAUGUAAAGUAGACUAGGUUAUAAUGUAUAGUAGUGGGUUGUUAGUGAUAUGUAGAUAUUAUAUUAUGUAAAGUAGACUAGGUUAUAAUGUAUAGUAGUGGGUUGUUAGUGAUAUGUAGAUGUUAUAUUAUGUAAAGUAGACUAGGUUAUAAUGUAUAGUAGUGGGUUGUUAGUGAUAUGUAGAUGUUAUAUUAUGUAAAGUAGACUAGGUUAUAAUGUAUAGUAGUGGGUUGUUAGUGAUAUGUAGAUGUUAUAUUAUGUAAAGUAGACUAGGUUAUAAUGUAUAGUAGUGGGUUGUUAGUGAUAUGUUAUAUUAUGUAAAGUAGACUAGGUUAUAAUGUAUAGUAGUGGGUUGUUGGUGAUAUAUAGAUGUUAUAUUAUGAAAAGAAUAUUAGGUUGUAAUGUAUAGUAGUGGGUUGUUAGUGAUAUGUUAUAUUAUGUAAAGUAGACUAGGUUAUAAUGUAUAGUAGUGGGUUGUUAGUGAUAUGU